AAAUGGCUCAUUAAAUCAGUUAUGGUUCAUUAGAUGAUACAAUAUUUUACUUGGAUAACUGUGGUAAUUCUAGAGCUAAUACAUGCAAACAGAGUUCCGGCCGGUGACGGCGGGAACGCUUUUAUUAGAUCAAAACCAAUACGUUCGUUUCGGCGAACGCUUUGCUUUGGUGACUCUGAAUAACCUAUUGAUGAUCGCAUGGUCCUAGUACCGGCGACAAAUCUUUCAAAUGUCUGCCUUAUCAACUGUCGAUGGUAUGCUUUGCGCCUACCAUGGUUGUAACGGGUGACGGGGAAUCAGGGUUCGAUUCCGGAGAGGGAGCCUGAGAAACGGCUACCACAUCCAAGGAAGGCAGCNGGCGCGNAAAUUACCCACUCCNGGCNCGGGGAGGUAGUGNCNAAAAAUAACGAUNCGGGACAAGUCUGGUGCCAGCAGCUGCGGUAAUUCCAGCUCCAAUAGCGUAUAUUAAAGUUGUUGCGGUUAAAAAGCUCGUAGUUGGGACUGUGUCCCGCACUGUCGGUGCGUCAUUUAUGGUGUUUACUGACAUGCUGUGGGACGUCCUGCCGGUGGGAUUGUUGCCACCGUUUAGCGUUUUGUCUUUUUUUAAAGGGCAUAAUGCGGCGGUUCAGUAACAUUCUCUUGUCACCCAUCGCGGUGCUCUUUAUGAGUGUCGUGGCGGGCCGGCACGUUUACUUUGAACAAAUUAGAGUGCUAAAAGCAGGCUACACGCCUGAAUAUUGUGUGCAUGGAAUAAUAGAAUAGGACCUCGGUUCUAUUUUGUUGGUUUU
rnacentral:rRNA from 1 species